UGAUUGACGAUGGAUCACCAGUGAGUGGCGGACGGGUGAGUAACACGUAGGUAACCUGCCCCGGAGCGGGGGAUAACAUUUGGAAACAGAUGCUAAUACCGCAUAACAACAAAAGCCACAUGGCUUUUGUUUGAAAGAUGGCUUUGGCUAUCACUCUGGGAUGGACCUGCGGUGCAUUAGCUAGUUGGUAAGGUAACGGCUUACCAAGGCGAUGAUGCAUAGCCGAGUUGAGAGACUGAUCGGCCACAAUGGAACUGAGACACGGUCCAUACUCCUACGGGAGGCAGCAGUAGGGGAUCUUCCACAAUGGGCGCAAGCCUGAUGGAGCAACACCGCGUGAGUGAAGAAGGGUUUCGGCUCGUAAAGCUCUGUUGUUGGAGAAGAACGUGCGUGAGAGUAACUGUUCACGCAGUGACGGUAUCCAACCAGAAAGUCACGGCUAACUACGUGCCAGCAGCCGCGGUAAUACGUAGGUGGCAAGCGUUAUCCGGAUUUAUUGGGCGUAAAGCGAGCGCAGGCGGUUGCUUAGGUCUGAUGUGAAAGCCUUCGGCUUAACCGAAGAAGUGCAUCGGAAACCGGGCGACUUGAGUGCAGACGAGGACAGUGGAACUCCAUGUGUAGCGGUGGAAUGCGUAGAUAUAUGGAAGAACACCAGUGGCGAAGGCGGCUGUCUGGUCUGCAACUGACGCUGAGGCUCGAAAGCAUGGGUAGCGAACAGGAUUAGAUACCCUGGUAGUCCAUGCCGUAAACGAUGAGUGCUAGGUGUUGGAGGGUUUCCGCCCCUUCAGUGCCGGAGCUAACGCAUUAAGCACUCCGCCUGGGGAGUACGACCGCCAAGGUUUGAAACUCAAAGGAAUUGAC
rnacentral:rRNA from 1 species